GUUCGUGAGUGUCUCGACCGGCAGAAGAUCGAGAUCAGCUUUAAACUGAUGGAUUAAAAGAGCUGAACUGAGAAGCUCAUGUAAACACACUCAGGAAUGAAUGGGCAAUCCUCCGAGACUCUGGAUUUCAGCAGCUUUUAUAUCAAUACUGCUGGAAUCUGCAAACUAAUCUAGUAGGACUUCAGGUUUACCAUCCAGUUACCACUAAAACAAUAUUGCAAGUUCAGUGAUGAAGAAGAUGUAAAGCUCUGGGUCUAUGGAUGGCUCAAGAUGGAUGAGUCAAUGACAAACACUCCUUUUCCAACACAGGUCAAACCACAGCCAAACUUCAGAGGGUCUGAUCCUUCAUCAUGCACUUAUAGUAAAGCUUGAUUGGUUAUUUGGGCAUUAGGCAUUAUACACGCAUUAAGCGUGCGUCCCAAUCCACUUUUGCUAUUUUAAGGACAGAAAAAUACACUUUGCGCCGCGGUAACAGGGUUCUGCUUAGUCUCCUAAUGAGUUAUGAGUGUGUUUUGAGUAUAAACCAAUCAGAGACUCAUCUCCCAUUCUCUUUCUCUCUUUCGUGGAUAAGGAAACAGUGUUGAACGCACUCUGCUGAGGACAUCCAUUACCCUACAUAAUUAAUUUAGUUUGUUAAGCGCAAAGAUUUUUGUCAAAACUAUUUUGGACAGGUGGACAAAUCUAAG